rnacentral:sRNA from 1 species
AUGUUGAAGCAAUUCAAGGUUAAAGACCUGUAUAUUAUUUGCUCAAUUGACAUAAUGAAAGAAUCAUGGUACAUACAGGUGUUGAAGGUCUGGGACAUUCUGCCUUUGGAGGAUAUUCCAAAAUUGGCUAUACGUCUUGAUGCUUUAUUUGGAAAGUAUACAAAUGAUUAUCUUAAUCGUUGUAAGACGAAAUGUUUUGAUGGGUAUGUACAUUUUCUGUAUUCUGGUAGAUCUAUAGCUCUAAAUCAUACAGUAAUAAUUGCUUUGUGCAAAAAAGUUCUCUAUUUUAUUUAUCAUUUUCUUUUACAAAUUUUAUUUUCCUAUAUGUAGGGAUUUGGAAGUUCCCAUGAGUUGGGUAACUUCCCUCGACUUUGUUCGUUACAAGAAUAGUAGCUACACUGGAGAUAUGGCUGAUUCAGAUGAUGUUUAUUUUGGUAGCAGAACAUUUGUUGAGAACUCCAUGGUGAGUGACAGUUUGACACUGAUGAAAUUCUACUCAUUGUCCUCCGGUGUAGUGAGCCACUUGCUCUCUCGCUGUGAUGGUAAGGAGUUGGACUUUCCAUUUGAGUUGUCGGACCAGGAAACGGAAGUAAUCCUUUUCGAUAGAAGUUGUUUCAUUCUUGGAAGGUCAGGAACUGGAAAAACUACUGUAUUAACUACGAAACUAUUUCAGAAAGAGCAGCUUCAUCAUAUAGCCUCAGAAGGAUUUCAUGAACCACAAAGUUGCUCCACGGUGGAAAUCUUCCCGAAAAAAGAGGAUGGUAAAAGAGUUGGAGGGACCAAGGGAGCCGCCUUGCACCAAAUCUUUGUCACAGUUAGCCCAAAACUGUGUUAUGCUAUUAACCAGCAAAUUUGUCACUUAAAAAGGUGCAUGAAUAAGUAAAUCAUUAGGACAAACUUAAAGCAGUGUUACUGUCUUUAAUGCUGAAUCUGCUCAUAUUUCAGGAGUUCAUUUAUUAAUAUUGUAUUAGGAAACAGAAACACUGUCCUUUAUUCUCCUUUAUCGACAUUCCUAUGUGUUGGAUAUUACUAUUAUAUUCAAAUUUUGUGCAUUAGCAUGAUGAAGGCUAUAUUGUUUUUGACUAUUUCCUUUUACAUGUACAGGUUUGCCUGUGUUGGGGAUGCUUCAGAGGGAAGCACAUCAACUGUUUUAGAUGAAAUUGAUGAGAUAUUACAAUUUACAGAUAUACCAGAUUCUUUUAUUGAUCUUCCAACAAAAUUGUAUCCCCUUGUAUUAACUUUCCAUAAGUUUUUGAUGAUGCUUGAUGGAACAGUAGGCAAUUUGUUCUUUGGAAGAUUCCCUGAGGCAAUUGGACAUUCUCAUGGCAGGGAAAGAGCUUCAAAAUCAGUGGCCUUAAAAACUUUUAUUAGAACAAAGGAGGUCAUCUUACUGGCGCCGAUUUAAUAGUGAACAAACCAAGAAAUUUGAUUCUUCUACUGUUUUCACUGAGAUAAUGUCUCACAUAAAGGGUGGGCUGCCAGCAGGAGAGAGCUGUGAUGAUAAACUUGGUCUAGAGGAUGACCUUUUAUUGGCUGAGCUCCGGGUAUCCACUUUAAGCAGGCAGGAAAGAGAAAUAAUUUUUGAUAUUUUUCUACAAUAUGAAAGGAAAAAGAUGGAGAGGGGUGAAUUUGACUUAGCUGAUUUGGUGAUUGAUAUUCAUAACCGACUUAAAGUUAGUAGAUAUGAUGAUGACAAUAUAGAUUUUGUAUAUAUUGAUGAGGUGCAGGAUCUUAGCAUGAAGCAAGUUGCUCUUUUCAGAUAUUUAUGUAAAAAUGUUGCUGAAGGAUUUGUAUUAUUAAAAAUUAAAAUUAUAAUUGGCUGUGAGAAAUUCUCUUUGAUGGGAUUAUGGUAUCUGAUUCAUUUUAUCUUUCUGAUUAUGGCAGUCUUCAGUAUUUAAUUCUAAUAUUGGGCAUCACACAAGUCAGUUUCGAAAGUUCAGUUGCACCCUCAAUAAAAUCAAAUUUCUCACUUUCAUUUUUCACAAUGUUGUUCUGUAAUUUUUAAAAUUUAACUACCUAAUUGAUUUUUUUUUUUUUCCUCCAACUUGUUUUCUAUUGUAUUGUAGGAUGUGUUUUUGUAUAACUUUUUUGGCUCAUCGCCUUCAAAAAAUCAAUGGAGAGUAAUAUACAAGUAUAUCAUAGAAAAAGAUCUCCUUGACUCAACUUCUCUGACGUCAUUUCCUAAUUUUAUCUGGGGCAAACAUAAUAUGCUUUGCUCUGAACUAAAGCCUUUGUAUGUAGCUAUUACUCGUACGAGGCAGAAGUUGUGGAUUUUUGAGAAUGUCGGAGAACUCUCUGAACCCAUGUUUAUUUACUGGAAGAAAUUGGGGUUUGUUCAAGUCCGAGAAUUCAAUGAGUAACUUGCACAAGAGAUGCAAGUUGCAAGCAGCCAAGAGGAAUGGAAGUCCCGUGGCAUCAAGGUUGUUUUAGUUUUCAAUAUUGAUUUUAUUAUUAUUACACAUGUUUUAUUUGGUCUGACCUCUUUGCAUAUGGAGUUGAAAUAUCUGAUGAUGUUUUUGAAUUGAAAAUUACACUUUUUAAGUUAUAAUAUUAUUGUGUUUGUCACUAUUGUUUUUCUUUCUUCCCCUUUUUUUUUUUCAUCCAAUUUGUUGUCAUGCACUUGCCUUUCAUAUGUGAAACCUGUCUUAGACUAAUAGGGGCAUGAAUGAAUAGUCCUUCAAAUUCAAGUAUUUAAAAAUAUUUGUGUUUCCUUGCACAGCUCUUUUAUCAGAAUAACUAUGAGAUGGCAAGAAUGUGCUUUGAAAGAGCUGGAGAGAGAUAUUGGGAAAAAUGGGCCAUGGCUGCUGGCCUACGAGCAGCCGCUAACCAUAUGAGUUGCUGAAAUUCCCAAUUGAUGCAUAUAAAUCUAAUGAAAGCUGCUGAAACAUUUGAUUCCAUUGGAAAGUCUGAGUUAUCUGCCCAAUGCUAUUAUGAGGCCAAUGAGUAUAAGCUUUACUUUAUGUGAUUUCAAGUUUUUAUUUGUAACUUUAAACAUUUGAUGGUCAAUGUUUUGCCAUUCGCAGCAUAUGUUUUUUUUUUUUUUUUUUCUUUCUAAUUAGCGUAUGUAACUGUUUUGUAAUAUUAUUAACAAAGAAUAUUUCUCUGUAACUUUAUGUUGGAAAGUAAAACUCGCUUUCCAUGUAAUUGAAGGCCAAAUCAAGACUUUGACUUCAAGAGAAAAUUAUGAGAUUGGUUAAUCAAGAGAUUGAUUGCUAGAGAAAAUCGUGGGAUUGAAGCAAUUAAUAUGCAAUUCAAAUUCAAAUUAUUAUUGACUUUUGUAUCUCCAUUAUAAAUAUGGAUUCCAUUGUAAUUAUUAAAAAAAAAAAAAAAAAAAAAAAUUAUAUGAGGAAAUGUAGCCCUCUGGCUUAUCUCCAUUAUAAAUAUGGAUUCCAUUGUAAUUAUUAAAAAAAAAAAAAAAAAAAAAAAGCAUAUGAGGAAAUGUAGCCCUCUGGCUCUUGUCGCAUGGAUGUAGGUUAGAAGGACCUUAUACUCUCAUGUGCUUGUGUCUUCUUUGUUCUCUUUUCACUAUCUCUCACAUCACAAAUUUCUACACUUUUAAAACAUACUAUGAUAGCUCCUUGCUUAUUAGUAUCUAUGGCUUGAUCGCAAGUCAAAAUAUCAUUUGAUUCGUUGAUUCCCCCAAAAAGAAUUAAAUACUCCUGUGUGACCGAUAGUGCAGUAGCAUCACUUUUCAAUUUGUGGUUUAUGUAAUAGCCAGGCAUAACCUGGAGGUCACAUAUUUACAAGAAAUAGUCGGUAGAAUUAGAGUGUAAAGUGAAUGUUGGAUUACGGUUGGAUAAAGAGAAUAAAAAAUUUAAAUAAAAAAUUUAAAAAACAAACUUUGAAUGAAGGUUGAACAUUUUGGUUCACCGUAUUGAUUUUAACAUCGUAGUAAGUGGUUAGCCUGAUUUCAAUCAUGGAAGGGAUUGGCUAAUCCAAAACUACAUUGCAUGUGGUAGCGAACCAGUAGCAUGUGCAUCAACGAAGCUCUAAUAGACUAAUACCACUCGCGCAAAUAUCAUUUAGAUAUUUGAACAAAAGUAUAUUUUUGCAGUCUGAUUUUACCAAUGUAAAAAGGCGUUCUUGAGUUGGAAGUCUUUCUUGUGUGAUUUGAGGCAUUGAAGUCAGUAACUUCUUCCAUUUUUGUAUAGAUGGUUUGCAUGUUGACUCUUUUUUUCCAUAUAAUUUCUCUUUUCAUUAGAACCCUAUAUAGUAUUUAAAUGAAGAAUUGACAAUACUGGCAUUAAUGAUUUCGUGGGUGCUGAAUACAUGGCAGAAUCUUGUACUAAAUUUUGUACUCUAGCUUAAUCUUAAUAAUAUCAAUUUUUAGUAAGAAAUAAUUCUUUACUUUGUUACUUUAUCUAAUUGCAGGAACAAUUUAUCUGGAAAAGUUUGGGAAUUCUAAGUUGGAAGAUGCAGCAGAAUGUUUUACUAGGGCAGGUUGUUAUAACACUGCUGCUCAAUUAUAUGCUAAGUGCAACUUAUUCACAAAGUGCUUGUCUGUUUGCAGUGGUGGAAAAUUAUUUGACAUGGGUUUCCAGUUUUUACAAUACUGGAAAGAUAAUGCUCUUUCAAACAAUGGUUUGUUAAAUAGUAAUUCUGUCAUAGAAGAAACUUCACAGAUGUUUCUAGAGAGUGCUGGACGUUAUUACCAUGAGAUUAAAUAUAGCAAAAAAAUGAUGAUGUUUGUCAAAGCUUUUCAUUCUAAUAAUUCAAUACGUGCUUUCUUAAAGUCUAUGGGUUACCUUGAUGAGCUUCUCUCAUCGGAAAAAGAAUGGGGCAACUUUAUGGAGGCUGCAAAAAUAGCAAGAAUGCUAGGGGAUGUACUGCUUGAGGCUGAUCUGCUAGAGAACACUGGGAAUUAUGAAGAUGCAUCUUUGUCCAUCCUCUUAUAUGUUUUUGCCAACUCUCUUUGGGCACCUAGGAGUCAAGGCUGGCCCUUGAAGCAACUUCCAAGAAAAGAGAAGCUUUUGACUAAAGCAAAAGAAUUUGCAAAGAAUGGUUCAGACAACUUUUUUGAGUUUGUUUGCACAGAGGCAAAUAUUUUAUCUGACCAAGAGUGUAGCUUGCCUGAGUUGAUGGAAAAUUUCAGGAGUUCCCAGAGACAUAACAGUGUUAGAGGUGAAAUAUUAUGUGCUCGAAAAGUUCUGGAUUCUCACCUUGAAUUGAGUACCUCGGCGUAUUCAUGGGGAGAUGUGGCUGGUUAUCUUGACAGGCAUGCCAAAGACAGGCUUUCUCAAAAUCAGGUAUCUGUUGAAACAUUGGUUUAUUUUUGGAAUUUUUGGAAGAAUAAGAUUUGGAAUAUAUUUGAGUUUCUUGGGUGUCCUGGAAAUGAGGAUGUUUCUGGGGAGUUCUGUCUGAGUUACUUGGCUGUGAACAAACAGUUUAUAGAUACAAAGGCUGUCUACCGUCUACUGAAACCUGAUGCCUAUUGGUUGAGAGAAAUCGAUGACCAUUAUUUCAUAAAGAAGGGGAAAUUGGUUAGCAUCGGUGCUCUCAGAUUUGCACAGGCUGCUCGAAGAUAUUGGUGUUCAAAAAUAUUUUCUGUUGGUGUGGGGGUGUUAGAAAAACUGAAAGCCCUUUACGAGUUUGCAACCCAGAAUGCAUUGUCCCUAUACAGCCAAACCUUUCCUGUUGUUCAUAUGUUUGUGCUUAAAAAAUCUCUGAUGGAAACCAGGUUUGUGGAUUGCAGGCAGCAUAUUGAUACGUUGAAGUUCUUUCUUGAUCUAUCUAUGAACUUAUUUUUGGACAAUAUUGUCAAUAUAUAUCCCUUGGAUUGGCGAAAAUUGUUGACUGAGAAUAUGAUUUUUCUCAGGGAGAUGAAGCAGUAUAAGAGUGUACUCCAAGAAGUUAUUAUUAAUACCAUUAGUUCAACUAGUAAGCUAACAGAUGCACAGGUUGGAAAAGUCACGAUAGGAACUUUUGGUUCCGGAAAACUAUCCAGUAAACUAUAUAAGCAGAUCGCAGAAGUGUUUGACAGAAAUUCACCCUGGGGAGAAUUCUUUCUUACGUUAGGAGGGAAUGCAGCUCAAAGAGAAGUCUAUCUGAUUCACAAGUUCCAUAAAGCUUUAGAAGAUACUUAUAAUGCUCGCUGGGCAAAUGUUAAUGAUUACAUAUCCCCUGGAUGUUUCUUGUAUCUUGUUGAGCUCCUUCUAAUCUGGGUAUGUAGUUUGAGGCAAAUCUUUUUCACUUCAAAAUCUUCUUUUGUUGAAUGGCUUAUACACCGGGAAAGGAAAGCCAACCUAAAUACCAAUUCUCUAGCUGCCAAAGUCGAUGAAUCAUCUUUAAUUGUUACCCUUGAGUUUGUGUCCUGCAUAGUUGAGCAGCUUCUGUAUCAUGAGCAGGAUACCAUCAAUUGGUUUGGAAAAGCUAAUAUUAUUUUGGACCCGGAUAGCUAUCUGCUAUUAGUGCUGAGAUUGUUUGUUGUUACAUGUGUGCUUUGUCUGAACCAUGUGAAGUAUUUUGGUUUGCUUUAUCACUAG